GAUUACUAAUAGAAAAAUUGACGGGAGGUUGGGAGAUUCGAAAGAAAACAACACAUUUAAACCCAAACAAGAAACGUUUAUUUCGGGUUUCAUUGGAGACGAUUUCCAAUGUCAUAGCUCUAGGGCGCAGCAGAGGGGAGGAAAAAGAGCUGCGAGAAAACCUCCCCUUAGAACAGCAACAACUACAUACUCUACUAUACAGGUAUGAUUUUACGUAGCUACGGCAACAGGUUCAACUGGCGAGAGAAAAUCUCAUGUGAAAUGCACACUUGGUGGAAUCAGUUACAUCUACAGCUAUCAGCUCCUUAAUGAUGACUCUUAACCGAUACUUCAGUGAGAUGGGUCACGUUACAGCAUACAACAGUUCUGAAUUGGGUAGGGUUCAGUCAGGGGGUUGUUGGAAGGAUUAGACUCAGAUGCAAGGGCAUCCAGCCUAAAGGGUUGGAGACGCAGUUACAAUGGUACCCGGCCUCAGGGGAGAGAGACGCAGCUGCAAGGGCAUCCGGCCUCAGAAAUCGACGCAGGUACAAGGGUACCCGGCCUGCAGGAUACUAGGAAGGGCAAAAUCCACAAAAGUUGUAUGUUUGUCCCGUAACACAAAUAUGAAUUAUUUCCGCUCCUGGCUAUCACGUUCAAAUAUGUCCUGUAUUGACCAACUCCACCAGUGAAGAGAA